rnacentral:tRNA from 1 species
GGGAAUGUGGCUCAGUGGCAGAGUACUUGCCUCACAUGCAUGAGGCCCUGGGUUUGAUUCCUCAGCACCA